UUGGUUGUUAGAGUUGAAUGCUGAAAAAAUACCUCACUGCUUGCUGAAAUUAUAGCUGGAAUUUACUUGAAUUUUAUUAUACACGGAUUGUGCACUUGGCUGCCAUUUGCUUCCUUCAGACUCCCAAAGAAAGUCAAGUCUUCAACCAAAAUAUUGAUCUUAAGUGGGCGCUGUGUCCAGAUGUCGGCAGAGCUGGGGAGAAAAGCUGAGAGGAAAGAAAGAGCUGGAGAGGUUCUUGACAGGUGAAAGAAGCUUGUGCUAUGACACUGAAAUGCUGAUUUUGACUGGUCCUGAUUAAACUGAUGAAUAACAGAACCACCCAGAGCCACAUGAAUAAGUGGUGAAGUUAUUGUGAAGUUAUUGUGGGCUCCUAAGGAACAAACAAGAGAUGAAUGAAGGACACUUACCAGGGCAAUGGCCGUAGCCUCUUGCAUUGGAAGUCAUUGGCUACACUUCACAUAAAAUGAUGGAUUGAGGAUGCUUUGCAUUUGGCCCGCCUUUAAGAGUUAGAUGUAACAAAAAAAAUUGCUAUACAGUUUUGGAAUUGUUUUAUAGCUAUCCCAAGUCAUACAGGGAAUAUGAAAACUAUAACUUCCAAGUCACUUGCCCUAUUCCCUUUUCUGUUUUCUCCUUUGUCUCCCUGCCACCUUGUCCUUCAUCUCUUGCUUGUAUGAUUUGCUUGCUUCUUCGUUUGCAACUCUGUAUUCAUGAUAUGUAAGUAGCUAGUUCAACAUACAGAUUUACUUUUGAUGAUGGGAAAGAGAGUCUUAGGCGCUUUGGGGCCCCCUCCAGUUCAGAUAAUGAUGAUUUUGCUAUAUUAAAAAAAAUUAUAAAGACAUGACAACGGUAGCUCCAUUAGUCUUCAUUCUCUCUAUCUUAAUAUUUGUUAUCCAAGUUCUUGGGAAGUCUGAUCCAUUAGCCCCUUGCUGACAGUCAGAUAGCUGUUCAGGGGGGUUACUGUUGCUCUGUGGUAAAUUGCAAGUUUGUUUCUUCAUUUAACAUUACUGCCAGAAACAUAGUUUGGAAAUAAUGCAUUCAAAUUAAUGUGUUCAUGUUAAAAAGUCAGGGGUUUUUGUCCAAUAUGAGGGAAAUGGUCUU